CCGCAACUGUCUGUAUCCCAACCGCACCUCACACUCUGUCGUUGCCCCUUCAGAUCUUCUACUCUUUGUGGACCUGUCCGAAGCCAUCUCGAAUACACCACACCCUGCGGGCUCUUCCGAAAGUAUUAAGAAAUCAUCCAUCGCUAAUCCCUCAGUGAUUGUACCGAUAGAAUCCCUCUCAUCUCCUCUUUUUUUCUGAAGCGGA
rnacentral:lncRNA from 1 species